rnacentral:tRNA from 1 species
GUUUUAAUAGUUUAAAUAAAACAUUGGUCUUGUAAACCAAAAUUAAGUUCUACUUUUAAAAUU